CCCUUCGGGGUACACGAGCGGCGAACGGGUGAGUAACACGUGGGUAACCUGCCCUGUACUCUGGGAUAAGCCUUGGAAACGAGGUCUAAUACCGGAUACGACCUGGGAUCGCAUGAUCUUGGGUGGAAAGUUCCGGCGGUAUGGGAUGGACCCGCGGCCUAUCAGCUUGUUGGUGGGGUAAUGGCCUACCAAGGCGACGACGGGUAGCCGGCCUGAGAGGGUGACCGGCCACACUGGGACUGAGACACGGCCCAGACUCCUACGGGAGGCAGCAGUGGGGAAUAUUGCACAAUGGGCGAAAGCCUGAUGCAGCGACGCCGCGUGAGGGAUGACGGCCUUCGGGUUGUAAACCUCUUUCAGCAGGGACGAAGCGCAAGUGACGGUACCUGCAGAAGAAGCACCGGCUAACUACGUGCCAGCAGCCGCGGUAAUACGUAGGGUGCGAGCGUUGUCCGGAAUUAUUGGGCGUAAAGAGCUCGUAGGCGGUUUGUCGCGUCGGCCGUGAAAACUUGGGGCUUAACCCCGAGCCUGCGGUCGAUACGGGCAGACUUGAGUUCGGCAGGGGAGACUGGAAUUCCUGGUGUAGCGGUGAAAUGCGCAGAUAUCAGGAGGAACACCGGUGGCGAAGGCGGGUCUCUGGGCCGAUACUGACGCUGAGGAGCGAAAGCGUGGGGAGCGAACAGGAUUAGAUACCCUGGUAGUCCACGCCGUAAACGGUGGGUGCUAGGUGUGGGGGACUUCCACGUCCUCCGUGCCGCAGCUAACGCAUUAAGCACCCCGCCUGGGGAGUACGGCCGCAAGGCUAAAACUCAAAGGAAUUGACGGGGGGCCCGCACAAGCGGGCGGAGCAUGUGGAUUAAUUUCGAUGCAACGCGAAAAAACCUUACCUGGGGCUUGAACAUGCACUGGAAAACCGGUAGAAAAUAUCGGCCCCCCUU
rnacentral:rRNA from 1 species